rnacentral:rRNA from 1 species
UACGAAGGGGGCUAGCGUUGCUCGGAAUUACUGGGCGUAAAGCGCACGUAGGCGGUCUUUUAAGUCGGGGGUGAAAUCCUGGAGCUCAACUCCAGAACUGCCUUCGAUACUGGAAGACUUGAGUCCGGGAGAGGUGAGUGGAACUGCGAGUGUAGAGGUGAAAUUCGUAGAUAUUCGCAAGAACACCAGUGGCGAAGGCGGGUCUCUGGGCCGUUACUGACGCUGAGGAGCGAAAGCGUGGGGAGCGAACAGG